CAAAAUGGGGAUGUAAGGUCUUCCAUGAGACCAUGUGCAGAGUUUAGAAGCAUUUUGGUUGAACGGGACGCUUUUACAUCACUGGUGAAGGAUAUCUAUUAGCAUUAAGCAACCUUAAGAAGGCUCCUUUGCAAUCUGCAUUUGCGAGUCCAACACAUCCUAACCCAGGCGGUGGAGGAGAAACAUAUGCAGAAACAGAAAUAAAUAUAUGUUUUUUUAGCAAGAUUAAUAAGUUGGCUGCCGUCAGGAUUAAUGGUAUGGUUGAGAGACUACAAUUGUCUCAACAGAUUAGGGAGAAUUUAUAUCAUCUUUUUCAGCAAAUACUGAACCAGCGGACUUCUCUGUUCUUUAACCGUCAUAUUGACCAGAUCAUCCUUUGUUGUUUCUACGUAGUUGCAAAGAUUUCUCAUUUGCGCUUGACUUUCAAAGAAAUCAUUUGCAACUAUAGGAAGCAACCACAAUGUAAACCUCAGGUUUUCCAAAGUGUAUUUAUUGACAGGUCAUCUGCACGACCAACAGGGGUAUAUUCGGCCACAACUUAGGAGCUAAAUUGGAGCUAAAUGGAUAAAGCAAAGGCAAGGAAACUUACAUGGGGACGUUUAGGAGAGCACAUGGAACUGUCCGGAGACCCGUGAGCUCAUAGUUGGAUUGAGUUAAAUAUUUGAGUUACAAGAUGAUUUCAAUUCAGUUGGAGAGUUGCACCAUCAUCAUCACUACUUAGGACACUUCAAAUAUGUCUCGAGUCAAAAUUUGUGAAAUCGUACCUUUUCGCGAAUAGUUGCCACCUCAAAAAAUAUCUUUUCACAAAGAGCUGUCAUAAUGUUCAUCAUGCUACAACUCACCUAUGACCAGCUCACCUCCAGCUCAUUCAUCUUA